UUUAGGCCUUGGCCAAUAGAUUUGUGAGAUUGGAUAUUUUUUAGCCCAGCAGGGUGUUAGCUUGCACGGUUGCUCGCUCGUCAUUGAUGGAGCGUAUCCAGGAGCGGCAGUUUGAUGAUCCCUAUUUGUGUGUCCUGAGAGACACGGUGCAGAGGGGAGGUGCCAAGGAGAUGACUUUGGGAGAUGUUGAUGGAGCGUAUCUGGGAGCGCAUUUUGACGAUCCCCAUUUGUGUGUCCUUAGAGACACGAUGCAGUGGGGAUGUGCCAGGGAGAUGACUUUGGGAGAUGAUGGCAUAUUGAGGUUUCAGGGGCGAGUUUGUGUGCCUAAUGUUGAUGGUAUUCGAGAGUCGAUCUUAGCGGAGUCCCACAGUUCUUGGUAUCCUAUUCACCCGAGUGCCGCGAAGGUAUCAGGAUUUGAGACAGCAUUAUUGGUGGUGUAGAAUGAAGAAAGACAUUGUUACAUAUGUGGCUCGUAGUCUAAAUUGUCAGCUGGUUAAGUACGAGCCUCAGAGGCCUGGUGGGUUAUUUCAGAGGAUAGAGCUUCCCGAGUGGAAGUGGGAGAGGAUCACUAUGGAUUUUGUUACUGGCCUUCCGAUAAAUCGGAAGAAGUUUGAUACUAUAUGGGUUAUUGUUGAUAGGCUGACUAUGUAAGUGCAUUUCAUCCCAGUUGCCACCACCUAUUCAGGGAGAUCGUUCGCCUUCAUGGGGUGCCCAUAUCUAUUAUUUCGAAUCGGGGUCCGCAGUUUACCUUGCAUUUUUGGAGGGCGGUACAGCAUGAAUUGGGCACCCAGGUUCAGUAGAGUACAACAUUUCACCCCCAGACGGACGGUCAGUCCGAGAGGACCAUUCAAAUUCUUGAGGAUAUGCUCCGAGCCUGCGUUAUUGAUUUUGGAUGCUCGUGGGACCAGGUCUUGCCUUUAGCGGAGUUUGCCUACAACAACAGCUACCAGUCUAGUAUUUAGAUGGCUCCUAAUGAGGCGUUGUAUGGUAGGCGGUGUCGGUCCCCAGUCGGAUGGUUUGAG
rnacentral:lncRNA from 1 species